CCUACGGGUGGCAGCAGUGAGGAAUAUUGGUCAAUGGGCGCGAGCCUGAACCAGCCAAGUAGCGUGAAGGAUGACUGCCCUACGGGGUGUAAACUUCUUUUAUAAAGGAAUAAAAUGAGGCACGUGUGCCUUUUUGUAUUUACUUUAUGAAUAAGGAUCGGCUAACUCCGUGCCAGCAGCCGCGGUAAUACGGAGGAUCCGAGCGUUAUCCGGAUUUAUUGGGUUUAAAGGGUGCGUAGGCGGAUUGAUAAGUGAGAGGUGAAAUGUCCGAGCUUAACUCUGGAACUGCCUCUAAUACUGUUGGUCUAGAGAGCAGGUGAGGUAGGCGGAAUGUAUGGUGUAGCGGUGAAAUGCUUAGAGAGC
rnacentral:rRNA from 1 species